GAGGCGACAAACGUUAUCCGGAGUUACUGGGCGUAAAGGGGAGAGGAGGUUAGUUAAGUCUGGCGUGAAAGCUCUCGGCUAAACCGGGAGAGGUCGUUGGAUACUGGCUGACUAGAGGACGGUAGAGGCGUGUGGAAUUCCGGGUGUAGUGGUGAAAUGCGUAGAGAUCCGGAGGAACACCAGUGGCGAAGGCGACACGCUGGGCCGUACCUGACGCUAAAGCGCGACAGCAUGGGGAGCAAACGGGAUUAGAAACCCCGGUAGUCCAUGCCGUAAACGAUGCCAGCUAGGUGUUCAAGACGCGCAAGCGGCUGGGGUACCGAAGCAAACGCGAUAAGCUGGCCGCCUGGGGAGUACGGUCGCAAGGCUA
rnacentral:rRNA from 1 species